rnacentral:rRNA from 1 species
CCUACGGGCGGCUGCAGUAAGGAAUAUUGGUCAAUGGACGAAAGUCUGAACCAGCCAUGCCGCGUGGAGGAUGAAGGUCCUCUGGAUUGUAAACUUCUUUUAUAUGGGACGAAAAAAGGCCUUUCUAGGCCGUCUGACGGUACCAUAUGAAUAAGCACCGGCUAACUCCGUGCCAGCAGCCGCGGUAAUACGGAGGGUGCAAGCUUUAUCCGGAUUCACUGGGUUUUAGGGGUGCGUAUAAGUGUUUGUAGAAAUCGCCGAGAUUAACUUGGAAACUGCCAUUGAUACUAUUAAUCUUGAAUAUUGUGGAGGUUAGCGGAAUAUGUCAUGUAGCGGUGAAAUGCUUAGAUAUGACAUAGAACACCAAUUGCGAAGGCAGCUGGCUACACAUAUAUUGACACUGAGGCACGAAAGCGUGGGGAUCAAACAGGAUUAGAUACCCCAGUAGUC